rnacentral:lncRNA from 1 species
CCCAUACAACAUUUUCUUCCAACUGUGACAUUUCUCCGCUUAUUAGACUGAGUAUGUACAGUAGAAAACUCUCUGGAAAUGAUUGCCACUAAAAUUAGGUUACACCGGGCCCCCGAUAGCAUCGAUAUGAUAGAGCACUUUCACUGGGAAUUCCACAAUCAAGCAUCACAAUGGCACACGACUAACAUUUGUUUUUAGAAGAAUAUAACGACCAUGUGAGCUCAUGAAAUAAAGUCAUCCGAGAAGGUAAUAAGACAAAGUAUUCUUCUCUUCACCCUAGUGAACAUCAAUGAUCCAAAACAUUUCUAGACUUUUCAAAAUCUCAUGAAAUGCAAGUCAUGCUAACCUCACCAGCAAUUCAGAAACACGGAACAUCAUGAGUGUGUGCGAAUAAAAAUAAAUUUCAGCAAUCGGAAGCCUCUCGAGAUGAUUUUCUGUAAGUGCCGUGCACAGUGUUGACCUGCCGAUACUCCAUGCAUUAUAGCUUGGUAGUCUUCUAGAGUUGCCUCAUCGUCAAGGAGUAACUGCAUCGUCCUGACAAUCGAAAACCACAGGCAGUCGAAAAUCAAUGAAUGCCAUGAAGAUGCAUGUCCUGAGGCGAAACUCUGCACUACAUUCACUAAAGCCAUGUAUGCAACGUCCACCAGAACACAGACAAGUCUGGCUACGAGAUUAGGGUUACCAAACAUGAAAGAGAAUAACUGAAAAUAUUUAAAAUAUAUAAAUUUCACAGAUGAUGCACCAAAAUGUGAUAAAAGCCAGUAUGAUCGAUUCUUGAAUGGUGCAGUUGUAACUUUUAAACAGGCAAAUGAUCCUAUUUUACAAAUGAUGCACACAUUUAAAUUACUGCACAAUACUGUGGCAUCAAUGUAUAAUUCAAAAACUUAAAGUAAUGAAACUCUCAUGAAAAAAUAAGAUGGGCAUUAAAUUUUAUUUUUUUAUUUGUCUCAAUACCAUAUUCAAACAACUUAAAGUACCUACGUAACAUGAAAAUAUGCCUAAAAUAAUGUAAGUGUAUAUUAUUCCAGAAACUCAGUGUAUUGUAACAUAAAUUUUUAGUUACAUUUUGUGUGAUUUUGCUGUAAUACUCCAAUAGCUUAAUUCACAAAUGUUAAAAAAUGACCAUCAUGGAUUUCGAUUUUUGAAUAUGUAAGUUCAAAAAUGUGAGUUGAACACUUUAAUUAC